rnacentral:rRNA from 1 species
GACGAACGCUGGCGGCGUGCCUAAUACAUGCAAGUAGGACGCAGUUGCGAACGGGUGAGUAACGCGUAGGUAACUACCUAUUAGAGGGGGAUAACUAUUGGAAACGCUAGCUAAUACCGCAUACUAGUAGAUGGACCUGCGUUGUAUUAGCUAGUCGGUGGGGUAAUGGCCUACCUAGGCAACGAUACAUAGCCGGCCUGGGAGGGUGGUCGGCCAAACUGGGACUGGGACACGGCCCAGACUCCUACGGGAGGCAGCAGUAGGGAAUCUUCGGCAAUGGGGGGAACGCUGACCGAGCAAAGCCGGGGGAGUGGAGAAAGUUUUCGGAUCAGAAAGCUCUGUUGUUAAGGGAGCGGUACUUAACCAGAAAGGGACGGCUAACUACGUGCCAGCAGCCGCGGUAAUUC